rnacentral:rRNA from 2 species
GGGCCGCACGCGCGCUACACUGACGGAGCCAGCGAGUCUAACCAUGGCCGAGAGGUCCUGGUAAUCUUGUGAAACUCCGUCGUGCUGGGGAUAGAGCUUUGUAAUUUUUGCUCUUCAACGAGGAAUUCCUAGUAAGCGCAAGUCAUCAGCUUGCGUUGAUUACGUCCC